ACGCACAUGGUUGCCUCCUAAAACCAUGGUUUCUUUUUCUCUCCAGGCCUCAUCCCAACCCUGACUUUCACAAGGUGGAGUCUCGCUCCGUCACCCUGACUGGAGUGCAAUGGCACGAUCUUGGCUCAUGGCAACCUCCACCUCCCGAGUUCAAGAGAUUAUCCUGCCUCAGCCUCCCAAGAAGCUGGGAUUACAGAUGGAGUCUCUCUCUGUCACCGUGGCUGGAGGGCAGUGGCGCAAGCUCGGCUCAUUGCAAGCUCUGCCUCCCGGGUUCACACCAUUCUCCUGCCUCAGCCUCCCGAGUAGAUGAGACUACAGGCGCCCGCCACCACACCCGGCUAUUUUUGUAUUUUUAGUAGAGACGGGGUUUCACCGUGUUAGCCAGGAUGGUCUGGAUCUCCUGACCUCAUGAUCCACCUGCCUGGGCCUCCCAAAGUGCUGGGAUUACAGGCGUGAGCCACCAUGCCCGGCUAUACUGUUAAUUUUUCUGUUUAUGAUCUGGUGUGUGAUUUCUUUUUUCUAUAAUUUUGUUAAAUUGAUUUGAUUGAGCAAACACAUAAAGGGUGGGGAAUGUGACUUAAGAAAAAAUAAACAGUAGAUUCAGCUUGAUUGAAUGGUAAUGCUCUUUUUUCCAGUAGUUUUUAAGGGUGAAGAGACUGGCUGAUUAUGAAAACUGACUACCUUAUAAAAUGGAAAAACGUUUGGAUUAUCUGGUGUUUAGCUUAAAAAUAUUUUUUUCAAUUAUUUCUUAAAACUGCAUGCGAAUCCACAACUGUCUCAAAAUAAAAUAUUCUAAGGAUUAAU
rnacentral:lncRNA from 1 species